GACGAACGCUGGCGGCGUGCUUAACACAUGCAAGUCGAACGGAAAGGCCCGGCUUUUGUGGGGUGCACGAGUGGCGAACGGGGGAGUAACACGUGAGUAACCUGCCCCUGACUUUGGGAGAACUUCAGGAAACUGGGGCUAAUACCGGAGAGGAGCUCCUGCUGCAUGGUGGGGGUUGGAAAGUUUCGGCGGUUGGGGCUGGACUCGCGGCUUAUCAGCUUGUUGGUGGGGUAGUGGCUUACCAAGGCUUUGACGGGUAGCCGGCCUGAGAGGGUGGCCGGCCACCAUGGGACUGAGAUACGGCCCAGACGCGUACGGGAGGCAACGGUGGGAAAUAUUGCACAAUGGGCGGAAGCCUGAUGCAGCAACGCCGCGUGCGUGAUGCUGGCCUUCUGGUUGUGAACCGCUGUCGCCUGUGACGAGGCGUGAGUGACGGUAAUGGGUCAAGAAGCACCGGCUAACUACGUG
rnacentral:rRNA from 1 species